GGCUCGGAAGGAAGGCGGGCGCGGCGCCUAAUCCAUGCAGUUCAACCAGGAGGGGGUACCAUUCCAUUGGUAAAGCGGCCGACGGGUUAGGGAUACAUGGGUUACUUUCCCUCGAGUGGGGAAUAACCAGCCGAAAGGUUAGCUAAUCCGCCAUACGAUUCUGGUAUUUAGGUUUGGGAAGGAAAGCAAUACCGUGGGUAUCGCGCUCAUGGAUGGGCUCAUGUCCUAUCAACUUGUUGGUGAGGUAACGGCUCACCAAGGCUUCGACGGGUAGCUGGUCUGAGAGGACGAUCAGCCACACUGGCACUGCGACACGGGCCAGACUCCUACGGGAGGCAGCAGUAAGGAAUAUUGCGCAAUGGGCGACAGCCUGACGCAGCGACGCCGCGUGGGGGAUGAAGGUCUUCGGAUUGUAAACCCCUUUCGGGAGGGAAGAUGGAGUGGGUAACCGUUGGAACGGUACCUCCAGAAGCAGCCACGGCCAACUUCGUGCCAGCAGCCGCGGUAAUACGAAGGUGGCAAGCGUUGUUCGGAUUCACUGGGCCGACAGGGAGGGUAGGCGGUUGGGUAAGCCCUCCGUGAAAUCUCCGGGCCCAACCCGGAAAGCGCAGAAGGGACUGCCCGGCUGAGGCGGGGGAGAACGGCGCGGAAUUCCCGGUGUAGCCGUGAAAUGCGUAGAAA
rnacentral:rRNA from 1 species